AAUAAUAAUAUCUAAAAUGUAAUAAAUAAAUGAACUCUAAUUUUAUUUCAUAUUUAUAUCAAAUAAAAAUAAAGUGUUUUAUUGUUUAGUAUGAUAACCUUACUUCAAACAUAUAAGUUGUUCUUUAUUUUAAAUAUAUUUUCUUUUAUCUAUAAUCGAUAUAAAUAUAAGAUACAAUGUUUAAACAGAAAUUUAUAGGAAAAUUUGUCAUGAUACAUUUUAAGAAUUUAGUUUCAUCUUUUUCAACACAAGAAAAAUUUAUGACAUAUUAACAACACAUUUAAAACUUGAUUAUAAUAUCAUUAAAAAAAAUGAUAAAAUUGAAAAAAAUAAUUUAAUUAAUAAAAUACCAAUACAAAGAGUUAUUCAAAAUUGUAAUAUUAUAAAGAACACGAAUGUAAAGAUAGAAAAAAUUGAUUAUUUGAUACAAUGCUUGGCACUUGAGCCUAUAGUUAUGAAAAACAGAAUUUUUAUACUUAAGGAAUUAGGUAUAAAUUCUGUGGAACUGUUUCAUAUUUACCGAUUUCCAGCAUUAAUGAGAAAAAAAGUAAAAACAUUUAAAAAAAUACAUAAUAUACCUGCUACACAAAAUAUUAUGAAAAUUAUAUUUUUUAAUAUAGAAACAAAUAUAAAAAUUGAUCAUAUUACUAAAAAUUUAAUGAAACUUGAAGAUCAUAUGAAAAUAGGCAAUUAUUAUCAAAUGUGUAUGUCAUAUUAUAAAACAUAUUAUUUAAAACUAAAUAAUCAAUCAUUUUUUAAAAAUAAUAGGAUGAAAUAUCGAAGUUUUACAGAAAUGUCCAAAUUAAUAUAUAUAUUGAAACAUAUAUUUAAAUUUGAU